rnacentral:rRNA from 1 species
UACGUAGGGUGCAAGCGUUGUCCGGAAUUAUUGGGCGUAAAGAGCUCGUAGGCGGUCUGUCACGUCGGCUGUGAAAACCCGAGGCUUAACCUCGGGCCUGCAGUCGAUACGGGCAGACUAGAGUCCGGUAGGGGAGACUGGAAUUCCUGGUGUAGCGGUGAAAUGCGCAGAUAUCAGGAGGAACACCGAUGGCGAAGGCAGGUCUCUGGGCCGGAACUGACGCUGAGGAGCGAAAGCGUGGGGAG